UCACAGGAUUUAAGGAUGCCAAACCAUUGA
rnacentral:piRNA from 1 species